GCGGUUGUCAUAUACCGGUAUUAUACGACCUUCCCAAGGUUGCUAAGCGGGUUCGACUCCCGUCAACCGCU
rnacentral:tRNA from 1 species